UUGUUCUGUGCGAGAGUUUUGAUUAUGUGCUGAUUGAAAGAAUCACACGGAAGAAGGCAGA
rnacentral:lncRNA from 1 species